GAAAUGUAGCUCACAUUUUUUAAAUAAAAUUUAAUCUUUACAUACAUAAUAAAUUACUUAAAAUAAAGCUGUUAUCCACACUAAGAUAAGUACAAGAAUUAAUAUUUGACAAUCUCAAUCACGUUAUUCUCAACUAUACGGAUAGAUAUUGACAUGUUCAUAAUUUUCUUCGCAUCGGUCCAAAUGUCUCAAUAAUUAUUCCAUAGCAUUUGUCGUGAUGGGUUUCUUGGAUUUACUAGUCAACACACGUGCGUAUGAACCUGUCUAUGGUACAGCUUCUGUAACAAACAUCUCCCGUCAUCCCACCAUCCGAUUUUCUAUUGUUCAGUUUCUCACUCCACAUCCAACCACAUCCAACGGCUGAUGCUGCAGUCUGUACCUUACAGAUUCUGUAAGCUAGUCGAGUCCUAGAUAUUGACAUGUUCAUAAUUUUCUUAAGGGAGUCCCUAUGUUACAAUUAAUGUAACAUACACACUCAACAACAACCACACAAAUAAUGGACCCACAUAAUUUAUGUGGUUGUUGUUGAAUGUAUAUGUUACAUUAAUUGUAACAUAACAUUUGCCUUUUCUUAAUAAAUAUUGACAUGUUUAUUCAUUGGUCCAAAUGUCUCAAUAAUUAUUCCACAGCAUUUGUCGUGAUGGGUUUCUUGGAUUUACUAGUCAACGUACGUGCGUAUGAACCUGUCAAAAGGAUACUGACAUGUUCAUAAUUUUCUUCGAAUUACGUAAAUUAGUGCUGCCUAUUUUCCAUGUUGAAAUAUGACGUUUUAGCCGUCAGUUUUGACAAUCCAGUACGUGAGAAAAUUAUGAACCUCUCAACGUAUAUUAUCAUAUAUUGUCACUAGGUUGGGUACAUUAUCGCUGCCUGUUUUCCAAGUGAAAAUAUGACGUUUCAGCAUCAGUUGACAAUUUAGUAUGUAAAAAAAUUAUUAUAUAGUAAAUGUUACGUUACGCUUUGUUUUUUUAUU
rnacentral:lncRNA from 1 species